UCUCUCUCUCUGCAGUGCACAACUCUCUCUCUCUCUCUCUCUGAUCUCUAUCUGCAUCUAGGCUACUGCUAACUGAAUUCUAGUUUCAAAACACAAACCAUAGCUGCAGAUUACUUUUAACUAUUCGAUCUGGACUCAUAAA